rnacentral:lncRNA from 13 species
AUUUCAGGGCUCCUGCUCUGCUGCAAUAGCUGAGAUAAUGCAAAUCCCAGUACAGAGUCAGAGGGCCAGCUAGCCCAGUUCUUGGUCAUGAGGCUAUGGCUUUUUCCUCCUGCGUGGCCAAAGCUUUAAUGAAGAUAUAGUCAGGGCAACAAGCCAACAGUAAUCAUUUUCACUCUCCUUGUAGGCAUGAGAGCCCCAGACAAGCCUUUCGGUAAGUGAGUCCAGCUCAGAACUGUUAGUCUUACUCCUCUGUAGGAGCCCAAAGCCUUAUUGCCACUCCCAGCCCAGAUCCUGGCAAGCCCAGGUACCAGCUCUGCUUAUUACUUUGUGUCUUUUUGUUAUAUUUGAAUGUGUUCAUGUGUGUUGGAAACUUGAGAAGUGGGAACUCUCAAAGGUGAUUAGGUCAUGAGGGCUCUGCACGCCUCCUGCAUGACACUGUGGGAGGUAUUAUAUGGUGAGGAAACAUGCGAGAGCUGAGUUCAUCCUUCAUAAGGACAUUUCUCCCAUGAUAGAUUAAUGACAUUGAUCUAUUCAUGAGUGCAGAGCCCUGGUGAAUAGAUUAAUGUCAUCAUCAAGGGAGUAAUGUCCUUAUGAAGGAGGAGUUCAGCUCUCACAUUUCCUCACCAUGUGAUGCCUCCUGCUAUGUCAUCACACAACAGGAAGGCCCUCACCAGAUGCGUCCCCUCAAUCUUGGACUUCCCAGCCCCCAGAGCCAUAAGUAAAAUAAAUUUCUGUUCAUUAAUCUGUGGUACUCUAACAGCAGUCUAAAAUGGGCUUUUAAAUUUUUUGCCUCAAAAUGUUUACCUAGUUUGGGGGGUGUCUAGUCAUGUUUUCUGCUUAUCUGUUUCUGUAUUUUAUUUAUUUCCACAGGCUUGAAACAAAGUGUGUAAAUUUUCCAUGGUCUGGUGGCAAAUUUACUAUCAGCUCUGCGGGAAGUGAUUUUCAAAUAUUCAUUAGAAUAAACAAAGUAACAAAAUUUCUAAAUAUGACGUGUGGCAUUUAUAGUAUGAAGUUAAGAACAAAAAUUAAAAAUGCUUCUGUUUGACGACUACUAUUUGCACUUCCCUUCUGCUGAGGUCACUCUCCAUGGCUUUGAGGUCUGCUUUCCAAGGUAAAAAGGAUCUUUGUUUCUUUCUAAAGUGUUGGUAGUGGUUGUCUCCAUUCAGCACUUCGUUUUAUUAUUUUUUAACUGCCAAAUAAAUAAACAAUGACAGUGUAGCA